rnacentral:rRNA from 1 species
AGACGCUGGCGGCGUGCCUAAUACAUGCAAGUCGAGCGGGGAUUAUGCUUGAUCGCUUCGGUGAGACGGCAUAUAUCCUAGCGGCGGACGGGUGAGUAACGCGUGGGUAAUCUACCUCGUAGUUCGGGAUAACAGGCCGAAAGGCUUGCUAAUACCGGAUGAGUUCAUGCUUAUGCAUAUAGGCAUGAAGAAAGGGCUAGCCCGCUAUGAGAUGAGCCCGCGUCCCAUUAGCUUGUUGGUGGGGUAAUGGCCUACCAAGGCAACGAUGGGUAGCCGGCCUGAGAGGGUGUACGGCCACACUGGGACUGAGACACGGCCCAGACUCCUACGGGGGGCAGCAGUAGGGAAUUUUCGGCAAUGGGCGAAAGCCUGACCGAGCGACGCCGCGUGAGGGACGAAGGCCUUCGGGUUGUAAACCUCUGUCUGGGGGGAUGAGAACGGACGGUACCCCCGGAGGAAGCCCCGGCUAACUACGUG